UACGGAGGAUGCAAGCGUUAUCCGGAAUGAUUGGGCGUAAAGCGUCCGCAGGUGGCAAUGUAAGUCUGCUGUUAAAGAGUCUAGUUCAACUAGAUAAGAGCAGUGGAAACUACAUAGCUAGAGUACGUUCGGGGCAGAGGGAAUUCCUGGUGUAGCGGUGAAAUGCGUAGAGAUCAGGAAGAACACCAGUGGCGAAGGCGCUCUGCUAGGCCGUAACUGACACUGAGGGACGAAAGCUAGGGGAGCGAAUGGG
rnacentral:rRNA from 1 species